rnacentral:rRNA from 1 species
CCUACGGGAGGCCAGCAGUGGGGAAUAUUGCACAAUGGGGGAAACCCUGAUGCAGCAACGCAGCGUGAGUGAUGAAGGCCUUCGGGUCGUAAAGCUCUUUGAUCAGGGACGAUAAUGACGGUACCUGAAAAACAAGCCACGGCUAACUACGUGCCAGCAGCCGCGGUAAUACGUAGGUGGCGAGCGUUGUCCGGAUUUACUGGGCGUAAAGAAUGCGUAGGUGGAUAUUUAAGUGGGAUGUGAAAUCCCCGGGCUCAACCCGGGAACUGCAUACCAAACUGGAUAUCUGGAGUGCAGGAGAGGAAAGCGGAAUUCCUAGUGUAGCGGUGAAAUGCGUAGAUAUUAGGAGGAACACCAGUGGCGAAGGCGGCUUUCUGGACUGUAACUGACACUGAGGCAUGAAAGCGUGGGGAGCAAACAGGAUUAGAUACCCUGGUAGUCCACGCCGUAAACUAUGGGUACUAGGUGUAGGGGGUAUCGACUCCCCCUGUGCCGUCGUUAACACAAUAAGUACCCCGCCUGGGGAGUACGGUCGCAAGACUAAAACUCAAAGGAAUUGACGG